rnacentral:sRNA from 1 species
AUAGCGCACAUAGAGUGCGGGUGAGAAGCUGCGUUCAGGUUCGAGCCGAGUGGAGCGAGACAGCGUUGCGCUUGCGCAACGACCCGAAGGGCGAGGCCGUAGGCCGAGUCAUCCUGCACGACCCACCA